UAUACUGUAUGUAAUAUGGGAUGGCUAUUUUGAUUAAGAGAUCAAUUUUUAUGCAGGUUUAUCUACACUCUUCUCCGCCUGGGAAUCAUCAUGUGCUUGCUGACCUGCUCGGGCCACAUCGCCGCUGAAACUGCAAACAGCCCCUGCCUGUCUUGUCACGUGAUCUUUGUAUUCUUGCUUGUGAUACUGCAAGCUGCAAUCGCCGCCGAUGUAUUUCUGAAUAGCUACUGGGAGGAGGACAAAUCCCACCAGACUUGGCUCUAAUUGAAGUUAUCAUAAGAGUAAGCAAUCAGCACUUGCUGUUCUG